CCAACCAGGCUGGCAGACAGUUGUUACCAUGCAACGAGCAGACGCUUGCGAAAAGUACUUGCUACAAAAUUGGCAAAAUUGCCUGCUGCUGUAUACAUAGCGCGCGUGUGUGUAUGUUGCUAACCUAGCUAGUUAGCUAGCCAUCAAUAAAGUUCCCAAUGUUACAACAUGGCAGACGGCUGGAGCACCGACACCGGAGAGGCUGCCUAUCGUUCCCGGGAUGCUGUCAAAAACCUUACAAUUAAGAUCCGUAUUCAGAGAGUCACCUCCACAGCAGCCCUCUCCCAACACCUUCAGCAGCAGGUUUGGACUCAACAGGAGAGGGGAGGCAUUGAGCUGGACACCCUCAACUCACAGACUCAAUCAGCAUUCCCAGAGUAUGGUGACGCAGGUCAAGUCCAAUCCUACCUUACUGGCACAUAGGAUGGCCAAUGUCAGACACAGACGACAGGACAGACGCCCAGUUGACAGCACCAUCCCCAAGUCCAGGCUGAUUACCUGGGAGCCCUUGUAGGACUUUGUGAAGACCAGCCACAUGGUCAACACACCUGUACAGACCAUGCACAUCAUGGGGGACCUGGGACCAGCAGGCAAACUUGGCCAAAAGGAGAAGGAAUGCUUGUCUGCACGAUAAGAGCAGAUGGAAAUGGAGUGGUUACCAUCAACAAAGGCAAGGAGCACUACAGGCCAGU